rnacentral:rRNA from 1 species
GUGGGGAAUUUUGGACAAUGGGCGAAAGCCUGAUCCAGCCAUGCCGCGUGUAGGAUGAAGGCCUUCGGGUUGUAAACUGCUUUUGUACGGAACGAAAAGACUCUGGUUAAUACCUGGGGUCCAUGACGGUACCGUAAGAAUAAGCACCGGCUAACUACGUGCCAGCAGCCGCGGUAAUACGUAGGGUGCAAGCGUUAAUCGGAAUUACUGGGCGUAAAGCGUGCGCAGGCGGUUAUAUAAGACAGAUGUGAAAUCCCCGGGCUCAACCUGGGAACUGCAUUUGUGACUGUAUAGCUAGAGUACGGCAGAGGGGGAUGGAAUUCCGCGUGUAGCAGUGAAAUGCGUAGAUAUGCGGAGGAACACCGAUGGCGAAGGCAAUCCCCUGGGCCUGUACUGACGCUCAUGCACGAAAGCGUGGGGAGCAAACAGGAUUAGAAACCCCUGUAGUCC